GACGAACGCUGGCGGCGUGCUUAACACAUGCAAGUCGAACGAUGAAGAAAAGAAUUGAAGCUUCGGCAGAAAUUCAUUUCGGAUUAGUGGCAGACGGGUGAGUAACGCGUGAGCAACCUACCUCUUACAAAGGGAUAGCCUCGGGAAACCGGGAUUAAUACCAUAUAACAUUGCGACGAAGCAUUUCGAUGCAAUCAAAGCUACGGCGGUAAGAGAUGGGCUCGCGUCCCAUUAACCAGAUGGUGAGGUAACGGCUCACCAUAGUAACGAUGGGUAACCGGCCUGAGAGGGUGAACGGUCACACUGGAACUGAGACACGGUCCAGACUCCUACGGGAGGCAGCAGUGGGGAAUAUUGCACAAUGGAGGGAACUCUGAUGCAGCGACGCCGCGUGAGUGAUGAAGGAAUUCGUUUCGUAAAACUCUGUUCUAUGGGAAGAAAAGGACUGUACCAUAGGAGAAAUCUCCGGCUAAAUACGUG
rnacentral:rRNA from 1 species